GAUGAACGCUAGCUACAGGCUUAACACACGCAAGUCGAGGGACCGGCGCACGCGUGAGUAACACGUAUCCAACCUGCCCUUUACUCGGGGAUAGCCUUUCGAAAGACAGAUUAAUACCCGAUAUAAAGGAUGGGGAUGCGUUCCAUUAGGUUGUUGGUGAGGUAACGGCUCACCAAGCCUUCGAUGGAUAGGGGUUCUGGGAGGAAGGGCCCCGAGAUUGGACCUGGGGCGCGGUCCAAACUGGUAGGCGGGGCAGCAGUGAGGGAUGUUGGUCAAUGUGCGCGAGACGGAACCAGCCAAGGAGCGGGAAGGAUGAGGGCUUAUGGGUCGUUAACUGCUUAUAUGUAAGAAGAUGUAUUAUAUGAAUAAUGAUCGGCUAACUCCGUUCCAGCAGCCGCGGUAAUAC
rnacentral:rRNA from 1 species